UCGAGAAUCUUCCGCAAUGGGCGAAAGCCUGACGGAGCGACGCCGCGUGGAGGAUGAAGGCCUUCGGGUUGUAAACUCCUGUCACGAGUUAAGAAAGAGCUGCCACGAACAGUGGUAGAUCCUGACGUAAGCUCGAGAGGAAGCACUGGCUAACUCUGUGCCAGCAGCCGCGGUAAUACAGAGAGUGCAAACGUUGUUCGGAAUCACUGGGCUUAAAGAGCACGUAGGCGGCGCUACAAGUGUCGGGUGA
rnacentral:rRNA from 1 species